GAUGAAGAACGUAGCGAACUGCGAUAAGUAAUGUGAAUUGCAGAAUUCAGUGAAUCAUCGAGUCUUUGAACGCACAUUGCGCCCCCUGGCAUUCCGGGGGGCAUGCCUGUCCGAGCGUCAUUGCUGCCCUUCAAGCCCGGCUUGUGUGUUUGGUCGUCGUCCCCCCCGGGGGACGGGCCCGAAAGGCAGCGGCGGCACCGCGUCCGGUCCUCGAGCGUAUGGGGCUUUGUCACCCGCUCGAUUAGGGCCGGCCGGGCGCCAGCCGGCGUCUCCAACCUUCUAUUUUACCAGGUUGACCUCGGAUCAGGUAGGGAUACCCGCUGAACUUAAGCAUAUCAAUAAGCGGAGGA
rnacentral:misc_RNA from 1 species